UAUGGCUCAGAACGAACGCUGGCGGCAGGCUUAACACAUGCAAGUUGAACGGGAUUUGAUGGUAGCUUGCUAUCAUUAAUGAGAGUAGCGCACUGGUGAGUAACACGUGGGAACAUGCCUUUUGGUGGGGGACAACAGAUGGAAACGUCUGCUAAUACCGCAUAAGCCCUGAGGGGGAAAGAUUUAUUGCCGAAAGAUUGGCCCGCGGAAGAUUAGGUAGUAGGUGGGGUAAUGGCCUACCUAGCCGACGAUCUAUAGCUGGUCUGAGAGGACGAUCAGCCACAUUGGAACUGAGACACGGUCCAGACUCCUACGGGAGGCAGCAGUGAGGAAUAUUGGGCAAUGGAGGGAACUCUGACCCAGCCAUGCCCGCGUGAGUGAAGAAGGUUUUCGGAUUGUAAAGCUCUUUCAGAUGAGAAGAUAAUGACGGUAUCAUCAGAAGAAGCACCGGCUAACUUCGUGCCAGCCGCUGC
rnacentral:rRNA from 1 species